GAUGAACGCUGGCGGCGUGCUUAACACAUGCAAGUCGAACGAAGCACUUUGAUUGAUUCCUUCGGGAUGAUUUCAAAGUGACUUAGUGGCGGACGGGUGAGUAACGCGUGGGUAACCUGCCUCGUACAGGGGGAUAACAGUUAGAAAUGACUGCUAAUACCGCAUAACCCGCUAGGGUCGCAUGACCCAGACGGAAAAGAUUUAUCGGUACGAGAUGGACCCGCGUCUGAUUAGCUAGUUGGUGAGGUAACGGCCCACCAAGGCGACGAUCAGUAGCCGGCCUGAGAGGGUGAACGGCCACAUUGGGACUGAGACACGGCCCAAAACUCCUACGGGAGGCAGCAGUGGGGAAUAUUGCACAAUGGGGGAAACCCUGAUGCAGCGACGCCGCGUGAGUGAAGAAGAUCUUCGGAUUGUAAACUUUAGUCAACAGGGAAGAAGAAAGUGACGGUACCUGUGGAGGAAAGGCCACGGCUAACUACGUG
rnacentral:rRNA from 1 species